UUGCACAAUGGGCGAAAGCCUGAUGCAGCGACGCCGCGUGAGGGAUGACGGCCUUCGGGUUGUAAACCUCUUUCAGCAGGGACGAAGCGAAAGUGACGGUACCUGCAGAAGAAGCACCGGCCAACUACGUGCCAGCAGCCGCGGUAAUACGUAGGGUGCGAGCGUUGUCCGGAAUUACUGGGCGUAAAGAGCUCGUAGGCGGUUUGUCGCGUCGUCCGUGAAAACUUGGGGCUCAACCCCAAGCUUGCGGGCGAUACGGGCAGACUUGAGUACUGCAGGGGAGACUGGAAUUCCUGGUGUAGCGGUGAAAUGCGCAGAUAUCAGGAGGAACACCGGUGGCGAAGGCGGGUCUCUGGGCAGUAACUGACGCUGAGGAGCGAAAGCGUGGGUAGCGAACAGGAUUAGAUACCCUGGUAGUCCACGCCGUAAACGGUGGGCGCUAGGUGUGGGUCCCUUCCACGGGAUCCGUGCCGUAGCUAACGCAUUAAGCGCCCCGCCUGGGGAGUACGGCCGCAAGGCUAAAACUUAAAGGAAUUGACGGGGGCCCGCACAAGCGGCGGAGCAUGUGGAUUAAUUCGAUGCAACGCGAAGAACCUUACCUGGGUUUGABAUAUACCGGAAAGCCGUAGAGAUACGGCCCCCCUUGUGGUCGGUAUACAGGUGGUGCAUGGCUGUCGUCAGCUCGUGUCGUGAGAUGUUGGGUUAAKUCCCGCAACGAGCGCAACCCUUGUCCUGUGUUGCCAGCGCGUAAUGGCGGGGACUCGCAGGAGACUGCCGGGGUCAACUCGGAGGAAGGUGGGGACGACGUCAAGUCAUCAUGCCCCUUAUGUCCAGGGCUUCACACAUGCUACAAUGGCCGGUACAGAGGGCUGCGAUACCGUGAGGUGGAGCGAAUCCCUUAAAGCCGGUCUCAGUUCGGAUCGGGGUCUGCAACUCGACCCCGUGAAGUCGGAGUCGCU
rnacentral:rRNA from 1 species